rnacentral:rRNA from 1 species
CCUACGGGGUGCUGCAGUGAGGAAUAUUGGUCAAUGGCCGAGAGGCUGAACCAGCCAAGUCGCGUGAGGGAAGACGGCCCUACGGGUUGUAACCCUCUUUUGUCGGGGAGCAAAGCGAACCACGUGUGGUUCAUUGAGAGUACCCGAAGAAAAAGCAUCGGCUAACUCCGUGCCAGCAGCCGCGGUAAUACGGGGGAUGCGAGCGUUAUCCGGAUUUAUUGGGGUUAAAGGGUGCGCAGGCGGAGGUGCAAGUCAGCGGUAAAAUUGCGGGGCUCAACCCCGUACUGCCGUUGAAACUGCAUGCCUUGAGUGAGCGAGAGGUAGGCGGAAUGUGUGGUGUAGCGGUGAAAUGCAUAGAUAUCACGCAGAACUCCGAUUGCGAAGGCAGCAUACCGGCGCGCAACUGACGCUCAUGCACGAAAGCGUGGGUAUCGAACAGGAUUAGAUACCCUAGUAGUC